CGGAACAAAUAGUCAGAUGUUAAAUUUUAGGGCUCAACCCUAAAACCGCAUUUGAAACGUUUGUUCUAGAGGAUGGUAGAGGCAAAUAGAACUUAUGGUGUAGCAGUAAAAUGCGUUGAUAUUAUAAGGAAUACCAAAGGCGAAGGCAUUUUGCUGGACCAUUUCUGACGCUGAGAGACGAAAGCGUGGGUAGCGAAUGGGAUUAGAUACCCCAGUAGUCCACGCCGUAAACGAUGGAUAUUAGACAUUAGGAGUGUCGACCCUUUUAGUGUCGAAGCUAACGCAUUAAAUAUCCCGCCUGGGAAGUACGGUCGCAAAACUAAAACUCAAAGGAAUAGACGGGGACCUGCACAAGCGGUGGAGCAUGUGGUUUAAUUCGAUGAUAAACGAGGAACCUUACCAAGGCUUGAAAUCUCUAGAAUCCCCGAGAAACCGGGGAGUGCCGCAAGGAACUAGAUGACAGGUGCUGCAUGGUUGCCGUCAGCUCGUGCCGUGAGGUGUUCGGUUAAGUCCAGUAACGAGCGCAACCCCUUUCAAAUGUUGUAUUUCUCAUUUGAGACUGCCCGGGUUAACCGGGAGGAAGGCGGGGACGACGUCAAAUCAGCAUGGCCCUUGACGCCUUGGGCUACACACAUGCUACAAUGGAAAGUAC
rnacentral:rRNA from 1 species